UUGGAAGGGUCCUUAAAGCCCAUCCAGUUCUACAUCCCAGCCAUGGGCAGGGACACCUUCCAAUAUCUCAGCUUGCUCAGAGCCUCAUCCAGCCUGGCCUUGGACACUUCCAGGAAUGGGGAAGCCACAGCUUCUCUGGACAACCUGUGCCUAACCACCAUGACAGGGAUAGUGACUUCACCACCUUCCUGUGCAGCCCAUUCCAAUGUCCAAUCAUCUCGAGUUUCCUGCUGUCGGGAUGACCCGAGAAUCCCUUUUUCCCAGCCCGAUGGCCAAAGAGUCAGGAUUCUUCAGCUCUGAUUCACAAGACCAAUCUAAAUGUGCCACCAUGACCAAGAAGAUGGAGGCUAGAAAGAAGAAGGAAGGACAGGGAACGCCCAAAUUCCUCCAUCUUGGGACUCCAAACCCCUGUUCGAAAACUUCCAAAAUUCUACUUUCCACCCUGUGACAACUACUAUUAUGCCACUUAAACUCUUGUGACUUCUAA